rnacentral:lncRNA from 1 species
UUUAUUGCAGGUGUACUUUUAAAGAGUGAAGCGCCAUAAAUCCAUAGCACAAUAAUGAAAGGAAUCUGUCCUUUUCUUGGUUUCACACAGCUGUGGUUUUGCUGCAAGUAAUCCUGAUCACUGGUGGCGAUGUAUGGUGCUGCCAGAGGUCCAGCUGUAGCCUGAGAGGCAGCACAAAUGCAAACUGAGGUUUUCACGCAGCGACCUGUGCUCCAGCUCCCAGACAUCUGCAGGUGCUUCUGAAUGUGCCCUUCCCAACGAGAGAACCACCCACGGGAAAUGAAGACAAUUUUGAGCGUGUCUGAAAAAUGGAAUGACUGGAACUUCCUAAAUUUAGAACUGAAAUCUUGCUCCUGUCCUCAAAUCAACAGGCCAUUGAAUGCUGCACAUGAUUAAAAUAUAGAGGGAAACAUCUCUGAGGCUUUACUUUUUUACAGUAGCUAUUGACCUGUGAUAUCACAGAUGCUAAUCAUGCUCUUUCUGCGCUAUCUUGGAUUUACAAACACAUUUAAAUCAGUGGAUAUUAAGAUUAAUGGUGGGACCAUUACAUAGCAGCCUUCCUGUUCUUCCUUCACUUCCCAGCUGCCGUUUAUAGAAACAACCUUCUGUCUUUCAGUUUUAAAAGAUACAGCCUUAUAUCCUGGAAGAUUAGUUCUACCAGUAUUUUUAGAUAGGGGUUGCGUCAUGUGCAUAAGCAAGCAGUCUCACCAGUUUGGAAGGGCACAAAUUUGAAUCAUCCCAUUUUAUUUACUUUUUAAGCUUAAAAAACUUGACAAAGAAUCCCAAGCCUAAUUAUAAGUGAUCCUCCCCAAGGGUUCUAGUGAAUGGAAACUGAUUUUUGUUUUAUGCAGAUGUCAAAUGAACUAAUCUAGCACAUCACUGGAAUAGGCAUAUGUAAUAAAAAUUUCAUAGUCUGUUUACCUGUCUAAUUG